UGCAUAUCCAAAAAGCGGAGGAAAAGAAACUAACAAGGAUUCCCCUAGUAACUGCGAGUGAAGCGGGAAAAGCUCAAAUUUAAAAUCUGGUGGUCUUUGGCCAUCCGAGUUGUAAUCUAGAGAAGUGUUAUCCGCGCUGGACCGUGUACAAGUCCCCUGGAAUGGGGCGUCAUAGAGGGUGAGAAUCCCGUCUUUGACACGGACUACCAGGGCUUUGUGAUGCACUCUCAAAGAGUCGAGUUGUUUGGGAAUGCAGCUCAAAAUGGGUGGUAAAUUCCAUCUAAAGCUAAAUAUUGGCGAGAGACCGAUAGCGAACAAGUACCGUGAGGGAAAGAUGAAAAGAACUUUGGAAAGAGAGUUAAACAGUACGUGAAAUUGUUGAAAGGGAAACGCUUGAAGUCAGUCGCGUCUGCCAGGGAUCAACCUUACUUUUGUGAGGCGUACUUCCUGGUUGAUGGGUCAGCAUCAGUUUUGGUCGCUGGAUAAAGGUCAGAGAAAUGUGGCACCUUCGGGUGUGUUAUAGUCUUUGAUCAGAUACAGUGGCUGGGACUGAGGAACUCAGCGCCGCAAGGCUGUCUUAGGAUGCUGGCAAAAUGGCUUUAAUCGACCCGUCUUGAAACACGGACCAAAGGAGUCA
rnacentral:rRNA from 1 species